GACGAACGCUGGCGGUGUGCUUAACACAUGCAAGUCGAACGGAAAGGCCCUGCUUGCUGGGUACUCGAGUGGCGAACGGUUGAGUAACACGUUGGUGAUCUGCCCUGCACUUGGGGAUAAGCCUUGAAAACUGGGUCUACUACCGGAUAGGAGGCAUUUUUAUUGUGAUGGUUGGACAGUUUUUUCGGUGUAGGAUGAGCUGGCGGCCUAUCAGCUCGUUGGUGGGGUACUGGACUACCAAGGCGGCGACGGUUAGCCGGCCUGAGGCGGUGGACGGCCACCAUGGGGCGGAGGAACGGCGCAGAAGCCUACGGGGGGAAGCAGUGGUGGAUAAUGCUCAAUGGGGGGAAGACGGCUGAAGCGGCGCUGCGGGGGGGAUGACGGAGUUUGGGGUGUAGAAAACCUCCGCUAGGGAGGAAGCAUAUUGUGACGGUACCUAGAGAAGAAGCACCGGCUAACUACGUG
rnacentral:rRNA from 1 species